rnacentral:rRNA from 1 species
GAUCAUGGCUCAGAACGAACGCUGGCGGCAGGCUUAACAUAUGCAAGUUGAACGGGAUUUGUGUGGUGCUUGCACCAUAUAAUGAGAGUAGCGCACUGGUGAGUAACACGUGGGAACGUACCUUUUGGUGGGGGACAACAUCUGGAAACGGAUGCUAAUACCGCAUAAGACCUGAGGGUGAAAGAUUUAUCGCCGAAAGAACGGCCCGCGGAAGAUUAGGCAGUUGGUGGGGUAAAGGCCUACCAAACCUACG